UUUCAGUCCUUCACAGCGUAGUGUGUUACCAAUUGUUUUCUUGGUAACUAUGGUCUCAGCUGCCUUGAGAUCAAUAACAAAAUCCUCCUGUUUAGUUCUGGGCUGAUUCCUUACAUCAUUCAAACUCCACGAGGUGAGAUCUUGCAUGGAGCACCAGACCGAGGGAGACUGACAGUUAUUUUGUGUUUCUUCAUUUGCGAAUAAUUGCACCAACUGUUG